AUUGAACGCUGGCGGCAGGCUUAACACAUGCAAGUCGAGCGGAGAUGAGGUGCUUGCACCUUAUCUUAGCGGCGGACGGGUGAGUAAUGCUUAGGAAUCUGCCUAUUAGUGGGGGACAACAUUCCGAAAGGAAUGCUAAUACCACAUACGUCCUACGGGAGAAAGCAGGGGAUCUUCGGACCUUGCGCUAAUAGAUGAGCCUAAGUCGGAUUAGCUAGUUGGUGGGGUAAAGGCCUACCAAGGCGACGAUCUGUAGCGGGUCUGAGAGGAUGAUCCGCCACACUGGAACGGAGACACGGCCCAGACUCCUACGGGAGGCAGCAGUGGGGAAUAUUUGACAAUGGGGGGAACCCUGAUCCAGCCAUGCCGCGUGUGUGAAGAAGGCCUUAUGGUUGUAAAGCACUUUAAGCGAGGAGGAGGCUCUUUUGGUUAAUACCCAAGAUGAGUGGACGUUACUCGCAGAAUAAGCACCGGCUAACUCUGUGCCAGCAGCCGCCGUAACAC
rnacentral:rRNA from 1 species